GCGGAUUUAGCUCAGAUGGGAGAGCGCCAGACUGAAGAUAUCUGGAGGUCCUGUGUUCGAUCCACAGAAUUCGCA
rnacentral:tRNA from 1 species